GAACGAGUCCAUCAUGAAUAAAGGUGUGCUUUUAAUAUUGUGUACGUUGGUUCUGUUGGCGGUUACAGACGCCAGGUCCUGUUCCACGGGACAGAAAACUUCUCAUUCAUCAUGUGGUAGCAGUGAGAAUAGAGACAAGGAUGAUUCAUCGUCUUCAUCUUCGUCAUCAUCAUCAUCAUCGGAAGAAGAUGAUGGAAAAAAG